GACGAACGCUGGCGGCGUGCCUAACACAUGCAGGUGGAGCGACGAACCAGACUUCGGUCUGGGGCCAAGCCGCGAACGGGUGAGUAACACGUGGCAACCUGCCCCGAUGAUCGGGACAACCCGGGGAAACCCGGGCUAAUACCGAAUGUGGUCGCGGUCCGUGAGGACUGUGACGAAAGGAAGCUUCGGCCUCCGCAUCGGGAUGGGCCCGCGGCCCAUUAGCUUGUUGGUGGGGUAAUGGCCUACCAAGGCAUCGAUGGGUAGCUGGUCUGAGAGGACGAUCAGCAACACUGGGACUGAGACACGGCCCAGACUCCUACGGGAGGCAGCAAUGGGGAAUCUUGGACAAUGGGGGCAACCCUGAUCCAGCGAUGCCGCGUGAGUGAAGAAGGCCUUCGGGUCGUAAAGCUCUUUAGGUUGGGAAGAAGGUUGGUAGUUUAGGAGAUAAUCAACUUGACUGUACCAGCAGAAUAAGCACCGGCAAACUCUGUGCCAGCCGCCGCCGUAAAAC
rnacentral:rRNA from 1 species